rnacentral:rRNA from 1 species
GACGAACGCUGGCGGCGUGCUUAACACAUGCAAGUCGAACGGAAAGGCCCUGCUUUUGUGGGGUGUUCGAGUGGCGAAAGGGUGAGUAACACGUGAGUAACCUGCCCUUGACUUUGGGAUGACUUCAGGAAACUGGGGCUAAUACCGGACAGGAGCUCCUGCUGCAUGGUGGGGGUUGGAAAGUUUCGGCGGUUGGGGAUGGACUCGCGGCUUAUCAGCUUGUUGGUGGGGUAGUGGCUUACCAAGGCUUUGACGGGUAGCCGGCCUGAGAGGGUGACCGGCCACAUUGGGACUGAGAUACGGCCCAGACUCCUACGGGAGGCAGCAGUGGGGAAUAUUGCACAAUGGGCGGAAGCCUGAUGCAGCGACGCCGCGUGCGGGAUGACGGCCUUCGGGUUGUAAACCGCUUUCGCCUGUGACGAAGCGUGAGUGACGGUAAUGAGUGAAGAAGCACCGGCUAACUACGUG